UACGGAGGGGGCUAGCGUUGUUCGGAAUUACUGGGCGUAAAGCGCACGUAGGCGGCUUUGUAAGUUAGAGGUGAAAGCCCAGGGCUUAACCCUGGAAUUGCCUUUAAGACUGCAUCGCUAGAAUCGUGGAGAGGUGAGUGGAAUUCCGAGUGUAGAGGUGAAAUUCGUAGAUAUUCGGAAGAACACCAGUGGCGAAGGCGACUCACUGGACACGGUAUUGACGCUGAGGUGCGAAAGCGUGGG
rnacentral:rRNA from 1 species